GGAAGUAAAAAGUGUAACAAGGUUUCCGUAGGUGAACCUGCGGAAGGAUCAUUACUGAGUGGCUGUAUUCGUGCUUCUCUUCGGAGACGCGAAGCUACCCGACCUGAUGUCAUUUUAUCCGAGGGCGCGCCCGCUUGAGAAGACAGCGGUUUGACGUUGUGGUGUUACCCGGACGAGGCGCUUGUCUCGUAAGGGGAAGCUUCCGGGUCGGGCCGUGGCGCGUUCCUUGGCACAACUUUCCGCGGAAGUGGUAGGCGUUGACUUGCCCGCCGCGGGCCAUACUUUUCACAACUCUCGAAGAAAACCUGAAGUCUGAAUACCAAAACAAAAACGAAAAGCAAAACUUUCAACAACGGAUCUCUUGGCUCUGGCAACGAUGAAGAACGCAGCGAAACGCGAAAGGUAAUGCGAAUUGCAGAAUCAGUGAGUCAUCGAAUCUUUGAACGCACAUUGCGCCUCUCGGUAUUCCGGGAGGCACGCCUGUUCGAGCGCCAUUACAAACUCCAAGCGUGGCUUGAUGAUGGGCGAUGUCUUUUUGCGAGAGCGGGAGACACGCCUGGAACGCGUUGGCGCCGCCGCCGGACCACGAGCGUAGCAAGACGAGAGUCAAUCGCAUCGAUUUGGUUUCCGACGGAGGUCCGCCUUGUGACUGCACUUUCGAGUGUAGUUCAAAAACUUCUCAAGUUUGGCCUCGGAUCAGGCGGGGAUACCCGCUGAACUUAAGCAUAUCAUA
rnacentral:rRNA from 1 species